rnacentral:tRNA from 1 species
UGUACUAGUAGUACAUACUGGUACUACUACUAUUAAUACUAGUAGUACAUACUAGUGUGUACUACUAGUAUGUCCAACUACACACUAGUAUGU